GAUGAACGCUGGCGGCAUGCUUAAUACAUGCAAGUCGGACGAGCAGAGGUGUUUCUAGUGGCGGACAGGUGAGCAACGCGCAAGAACGUGCCACGGGGAGGGGCACCCUAGCUGGAUACGGCUGCUAAUACACCGUAGGCCGAGGAGCAGAAGAUGGAAUCCGCCUGAGGAGUGGCUAGCGACUGACUAGCUAGUUGGUGAAGCAAUAGCUGACCAGGGCGAUGAACAGUAGUUGGUACGAGAGGAUGAACAUCCACACUGCGACUGAGCCACGGUGCAGGCACCUACGCGCGGCAGGAGUGGGGAAGUCGCCGCAAUGCGCCAUAGCUGAACAAGGCAAUGCCGCGUGGAGAUACAGGGACUACGGGUCGUGAACUGCUUAUCCCGCAAAAGAAGCAAUGACGGUAUCUGGGCAGUAAGCAUCGGCUAACUCUGUG
rnacentral:rRNA from 1 species